UACGGAGGGUGCAAGCGUUAAUCGGAAUCACUGGGCGUAAAGCGCACGUAGGCUGUUUGGUAAGUCAGGGGUGAAAUCCCGCGGCUCAACCGCGGAAUUGCCCUUGAUACUGCUGGACUUGAGUUCGGGAGAGGGUGGCGGAAUUCCAGGUGUAGGAGUGAAAUCCGUAGAUAUCUGGAGGAACAUCAGUGGCGAAGGCGGCCACCUGGACCGAUACUGACGCUGAGGUGCGAAAGCGUGGGGAGCAAACAGG
rnacentral:rRNA from 1 species